AAUUGAGAUGUGCAUGUUGUAAUAUAUGCUAGGUGAAAUGCAUAUUGAUAUAAGAUAAAAAUGCUAGAUAAUAUGCAAGUUGGCAAGUUGUAUAUUAUACUUGAUUCACAUGAGUUGAACAUAGGUCGAUAACUCUAGGUGUAUUAGAGAAUGCGACAUUGGAAAAUAAGAAUGUAUAAACUAUGAUACUCGAUGUGGACAAGUAGAGUGUCAAGUAGAUCGAGUGGCAUUGAACCUAGAGUUGUGAACCUAGGAUGGACAUGUGUGGCAUUUAACCUAGUGUUAAUAAACAUAGGUUGGACAAGAGUGGCAUUGAACCUAGUGUUAUUGAACAUAGGUUGGACAUGUGUGGCAUUUAACCUAGUGUUAAUAAACAUAGGUUGGACAAGAGUGGCAUUGAACCUAGUGUUAAAGAACAUAGGUUGAGAAUUGAAUCUAGAAUCAUGUAAACCUAGGUUA
rnacentral:lncRNA from 1 species